UACGGAGGAUCCAAGCGUUAUCCGGAUUUAUUGGGUUUAAAGGGUGCGUAGGCGGCCCGUUAAGUCAGUGGUGAAAGCCUCCAGCUCAACUGGAGAACUGCCAUUGAUACUGGCGGGCUUGAGUACAGACGAGGUAGGCGGAAUUGAUUGUGUAGCGGUGAAAUGCAUAGAUACAAUCAAGAACACCGAUUGCGUAGGCAGCUUACUAGGCUGUAACUGACGCUGAGGCACGAAAGCGUGGGGAGCGAACAGG
rnacentral:rRNA from 1 species